AGUGAACGCUGGCGGUAGGCCUAACACAUGCAAGUCGAACGGCAGCACAGUAAGAGCUUGCUCUUACGGGUGGCGAGUGGCGGACGGGUGAGGCAUACAUCGGAAUCUACUUUUUCGUGGGGGAUAACGUAGGGAAACUUACGCUAAUACCGCAUACGACCUACGGGUGAAAGCAGUGGAUCUUCGGACCUUGCGCGAUUGAAUGAGCCGAUUUCGGAUUAGCUAGUUGGCGGGGUAAAGGCCCACCAAGGCGACGAUCCGUAGCUGGUCUGAGAGGAUGAUCAGCCACACUGGAACUGAGACACGGUCCAGACUCCUACGGGAGGCAGCAGUGGGGAAUAUUGGACAAUGGGCGCAAGCCUGAUCCAGCCAUACCGCGUGGGUGAAGAAGGCCUUCGGGUUGUAAAGCCCUUUUGUUGGGAAAGAAAAGCAGCAGGUUAAUACCCCGCUGUUCUGACGGUACCCAAAGAAUAAGCACCGGCUAACUUCGUG
rnacentral:rRNA from 1 species